CAAUGAAAGUGAAUUUCCGCCUCGUGCGGACCGAGGGAAGAUGGGCCGCGCUGCUGUGCGGCUCCGCAUUCCCGGGGCGUCUCGUUCUCAUUGCGAGUUGAGGCGCACCCAGAGCGUACACGUUGGGACCCGAAAGAUGGUGAACUAUGCCUGGCCAGGACGAAGUCAGGGGAAACCCUGAUGGAGGUCCGUAGCGAUUCUGACGUGCAAAUCGAUCGUCGGAGCUGGGUAUAGGGGCGAAAGACUAAUCGAACCAUCUAGUAGCUGGUUCCCUCCGAAGUUUCCCUCAGGAUAGCUGGUGCUCGAACGAGUCUCAUCCGGUCAAGCGAAUGAUUAAAGGCCUUGGGGCCGAAACGACCUCAACCUAUUCUCAAACUUUAAAUGGGUGAGAUCUCCGGCUUGCUUGAAACAGUUUUGAAGCCGCGAGAAUAAUUUUCUUGGAUCGAAGUGCCAAGUGGGCC
rnacentral:rRNA from 1 species